rnacentral:rRNA from 1 species
UAACGCGUGGAGAACCUGCCGUAUACUGGGGGAUAACACUUAGAAAUAGGUGCUAAUACCGCAUAAGCGCACAGCUUCGCAUGAAGCAGUGUGGAAAACAAAAGCUAAAGCUUUUGGUGGUAUACGAUGGAUCCGCGUCUGAUUAGCUGGUUGGCGGGGUAAAGGCCCACCAAGGCGACGAUCAGUAGCCGGCCUGAGAGGGUGAACGGCCACAUUGGGACUGAGACACGGCCCAAACUCCUACGGAAGGCAGCAG